rnacentral:rRNA from 1 species
AGAGUUUGAUCAUGGCUCAGGAUGAACGCUAGCUACAGGCUUAACACAUGCAAGUCGAGGGGUAAACGACAUCGAAAGCUUGCUUUUGAUGGGCGUCGACCGGCGCACGGGUGACGUAACGCGUAUCCAACCUGCCCACCACUUGGGGAUAACCUUGCGAAAGUAAGACUAAUACCCAAUGAUAUCUCUAGAAGACAUCUGAAAGAGAUUAAAGAUUCAUCGGUGAUGGAUGGGGAUGCGUCUGAUUAGCCUUGUUGGCGGGGUAACGGCCCACCAAGGCCAACGAUCAGUAGGGGUUCUGAGAGGAAGGCCCCCCACAUUGGAACUGAGACACGGUCCAAACUCCUACGGGAGGCAGCA